AAUGAACGCUGGCGGCAUGCCUUACACAUGCAAGUCGAACGGUAACGCGGGGCAACCUGGCGACGCGUGGCGGACGGGUGAGUAAUUCAUCGGAACGUGCCCAGCCCUGGGGUAUAGCCCGGCGAAAGCCGGAUGAAUACCACAUGAGACCUGAGGGUGAAAGCGGGGGAUCGCAAGACCUCGCUCUUUUGGAGCGGCCGGUGUCAGAUUAGCUAGUUGGUGGGGUAAAGGCCUACCAAGGCGACGAUCUGUAGCUGUUCUGAGAGGAGGACGAGCCACCCGGGAACUGAGCCACGGACCAGACUCCUACGGGAGGCAGCAGUGGGGAACUUUGGGCAACGGGCGCAAGCCUGAUCCAGCGAUGCCGCGUGCGGGAAGAAGGCCUUCGGGUUGUAAACCGGUUUUGUCAGGGAAGAAACGCUUUGGGCUAAUACCAUGGGGUAAUGACGGUACCUGAAGAAUAAGCACCGGCUAACUACGUG
rnacentral:rRNA from 1 species